UUAAUGGUUAGCGUCAAAACCGUACUUUGCUUCAAGAAAGAUGGUGACCUACUAACGGGUUAUCAAUAAGCUGAAGCUCAUUAACUUCAUUAGAAAAUAGUGUUAUUACUCCUGACUUUACUUUCCGUGUGGCCGCUCAGACAGAACGUGUUUCAGCUGGCGGCUCUCAUGGACUCAGAGCUUCACCGUCGGGGGUUUUUAUAGUUUGGACGAAGCGGCCGCUGAAGUUGG